rnacentral:ncRNA from 1 species
GAGAGCCGAAUACAUUGAAAGGUGUACGUUCGGUUCGGAGGGGGGUUCCACAGAAACCGGCCAUUGCGGUAUGGCAAGGCGCUUGGUUCCUACCCUAC